rnacentral:rRNA from 1 species
UACGGGAGGCAGCAGUGGGGAAUAUUGCACAAUGGGCGCAAGCCUGAUGCAGCCAUGCCGCGUGUAUGAAGAAGGCCUUCGGGUUGUAAAGUACUUUCAGUCGUGAGGAAGGUGUUAAGGUUAAUAACCUUAGCAAUUGACGUUAGCGACAGAAGAAGCACCGGCUAACUCCGUGCCAGCAGCCGCGGUAAUACGGAGGGUGCGAGCGUUAAUCGGAAUUACUGGGCGUAAAGGGCACGCAGGCGGUUAAUUAAGUUGGAUGUGAAUCCCCGGGCUUAACCUGGGAAUGGCAUUCAAGACUGGUUAGCUAGAGUCUUGUAGAGGGGGUAGAAUUCCAUGUGUAGCGGUGAAAUGCGUAGAGAUGUGGAGGAAUACCGGUGGCGAAGGCGGCCCCUGGGACAAAGACUGACGCUCAUGUGCGAAAGCGUGGGGAGCAAACAGGAUUAGAU